UACGGGAGUGGCAAGCGUUAUCCGGAAUUAUUGGGCGUAAAGCGUCCGCAGGCGGCCCUGAAAGUCUGUCGUUAAAGCGUGGAGCUCAACUCCAUUUAAGCGAUGGAAACUACAGGGCUAGAGUGUGGUAGGGGCAGAGGGAAUUCCCAGUGUAGCGGUGAAAUGCGUAGAUAUCGGGAAGAACACCAAUGGCGAAGGCGCUCUGCUGGGCCAUAACUGACGCUCAUGGACGAAAGCCAGGGGAGCGAAAGGG
rnacentral:rRNA from 1 species